GUGGUUCUCUUUAGCAGCACGUAUCCUAACACUGGACCAAUAUAGAGAAGAUACCGCAUGGCCCCUGAGCAAGGAGGACAUGCAGACUCAUGAAACAUUCCAUGUUUUU
ensembl:snRNA U6 U6 spliceosomal RNA